rnacentral:rRNA from 1 species
UCUGGUUGAUCCUGCCGGAGGUUACUGCUAUCGAGGUUCGACUAAGCCAUGCGAGUCGAAUGUAGCAAUACAUGGCGUACUGCUCAGUAACACGUGGACAACCUACCCUUAGGUCGGGGAUAAACCCGGGAAACUGGGUAUAAUACCCGAUAGUCCUCGGAUGCUGGAAUGCACCGAGGUCUAAAGCUCCGGCGCCUAAGGAUGGGUCUGCGGCCUAUCAGGUAGUAGUGGGUGUAGCGUACCUACUAGCCUACGACGGGUACGGGUUGUGAGAGCAAGAGCCCGGAGAUGGAUUCUGAGACACGAAUCCAGGCCCUACGGGGUGCAGCAGGCGCGAAAACUUUACAAUGCUGGAAACCGCGAUAAGGGGACCUCGAGUGCCAGGUUACAAAUCUGGCUGUCGUGAUGCCUAAAAAGCAUUGCAUAGCAAGGGCCGGGCAAGACCGGUGCCAGCCGCCGCGGUAACACCGGCGGCUCGAGUGGUAACCGCUAUUAUUGGGUCUAAAGGGUCUGUAGCCGGCCGGAUAAGUCUUUUGGGAAAUCUGGCAGCUUAACUGUCAGGCUUUCAGAGGAUACUGUCUGGCUCGAGGCCGGGAGAGGUGAGAGGUACUUCAGGGGUAGGGGUGAAAUCUUGUAAUCCUUGAAGGACCACCAGUGGCGAAGGCGUCUCACCAGAACGGACCUGACGGCAAGGGAC